rnacentral:piRNA from 1 species
GCAGAGACUGGUGGAUCUAUGCGAG